AGGCAGCAGUAGGGAAUCUUCCGCAAUGGACGAAAGUCUGACGGAGCAACGCCGCGUGAGCGAUGAAGGCCUUCGGGUCGUAAAGNUCUGUUGUCAGGGAAGAACAAGUAYCGGAGUAACUGCCGGUACCUUGACGGUACCUGACCAGAAAGCCACGGCUAACUACGUGCCAGCAGCCGCGGUAAUACGUAGGUGGCAAGCGUUGUCCGGAAUUAUUGGGCGUAAAGCGCGCGCAGGCGGUUCCUUAAGUCUGAUGUGAAAGCCCCCGGCUCAACCGGGGAGGGUCAUUGGAAACUGGGGAACUUGAGUGCAGAAGAGGAGAGCGGAAUUCCACGUGUAGCGGUGAAAUGCGUAGAGAUGUGGAGGAACACCAGUGGCGAAGGCGGCUCUCUGGUCUGUAACUGACGCUGAGGCGCGAAAGCGUGGGGAGCGAACAGGAUUAGAUACCCUGGUAGUCCACGCCGUAAACGAUGAGUGCUAAGUGUUAGAGGGUUUCCGCCCUUUAGUGCUGCAGCAAACGCAAGAAGCACUCCGCCUGGGGAGACGCCGC
rnacentral:rRNA from 1 species